GGGAGCGUGUCGGGUGCUGGUGCCCCGCCCGGUCUUCAAAACCGGCGUGCCGGUCACAAGCUGGCAGGUGGGUUCGAUUCCCAUACGCUCCCGCCA
rnacentral:tRNA from 1 species